UUUUAAAACUUGGUAUUAGUUUAUGCUCUUUCUUACCAUCCUAGAAUCAUUUUUUUCCGGCAUUGUAAUUUUUUACACAGUUUCAUUUAAGAGUGAACGCUACCACUCUGAGUAACAAUAUAUAAGUGAAUCAGGAGAAGGGCUGUGAAUUCUACUGUGAUGCAGACAUAAUGUGCACAAUAUCAUGUUGGAAUUGCUUUCAGAACUUCCUUAAAAAAAAAAAAGGCAAACGUAUCAUUCAUUUUUACCGACCUUCCUUCUUAAAUAUGAGCCAUAGCUGUAUGUUCAUUCAGUUAAUUUUACAUUGACUUCAUUGGGAUUUAAACUGCUUCAGUACAUAUGAGAAUGAGACCUACACGGGUAUGUUCCUUGUGCAUGGCACGGAUUUUUGGAGCUCCUGAAAAACUAACACAAAGCAGCGCAAAAACAAAAAACAAAAAAAGAUUUGGUAAACAGACCAUUAUUAUUUUCUGAAUAACAUGGACAUGAUUUAGGCAUGAAGUUUGUUGUGUUCACAACAAACAAUAUGUAUAUCUGUAUUUGCAUAGAAUGAGGAAAAUCAAGUGUGUAUUUCCAGGCCACCAUGUCAGGGAACAAAGAAUAAAUUCUACUGGCAAUGGAAAACCUCCUAUGCAAAAUGCCUGGCCAGUUGUUGUUCAGCAAGGCUUUCAUUUCCUGCACUUUUUGUAUUUCAGAGGGAAUGAGGGCCUCACCUUGGGAAAAAUAUAAAACGAUCUUCCUUUCAAUAUAAAUGUCUGCCCCAAAAAUCAAUUUCAAUUUCAUCUUUGUUUCAUAAAAAAAAAAGAAGAAGAAGAAGAAGAGAGAGGAACGGAGGGAGGGAAAGAAAAGAAAAGACCUACAAGGCUAUAAGUAAUAGCUACCCACAGUUUUCUUAAUAAAUAUUUCUGGAGGAGUAAAAAGCUAUAUGAAUGCUUUUUUCUACUUGUGAACUGGCUACACUUUAAAAACAUCUAUAACUAGAUGAGCAGUUAAUGUCUAGAUUCUGAUUCCAUCAUUUCUUUUUCCAGAGAUGGCUCCUUCCCCUACCCUUCCCUUCCUCUCCCGCUGCUCUAUGGCCCGGCAUUUUUUCCAAAGCGCCGCUUUUUGAAAUGUGCGAGGGAUUGUGUGACAUUUCAAGAACUGCUAUCAAUAUGCAUCCACAGGUACAGUUAUGUCCUGUACAAUAAAUCAUCCAUCCUUUGUGUUCAAAUAAACAUUAGAGGGCCCUUCAGUAGCAACUCCUUAUCUCGUCUAGGCAGGAUUAGAAGAUACGCUCCUCAAAGCCCAACUGGAUAUAUUUUGCUUGCAAUCUUGUUUAAAUUAUCCUUGCUGGAUAUAAACAUCCCUUUCUUUCUAAUUUCAGAAAGAGGAAACAAUGUUCUCAUUUUAGGGAUGCUAACUCAUCACCGGUCCCCGCCUGCAGCAUUUACUCUCUCAUUUGCUCAAAUGCUGCAUUCUUUUAAAUUUACUUAAAAAAAAAACAAAAAAACCCAACACCCUAAACUGGAACCAUGAGAGAUUUAUUAUGGAAAGCUACAGCAAGGAGAAAUGUAUGCCAACCUUCCCCCCUCCUGCUGCUUCAGUGAUUCAAGCAUUGCCUCUGCAAAGUCAGUGUGCCGUUAAGGUAGGGCUGGAGAUGGUACUGAAUAUCACCAAUGCUCCAAGCUGGACUGUGAAACUGUAUGAAAACUUCCCAGAAGAAGACAGUGGCAAACAACUUUCAUUCUGUUCCCAGGAAAGCGAAAAGAACAUGUCCAUGUGGUCAUAUGAUGUCUCAGAAGCUGGGCUUUGCAAUCUGCAGUUAAAAAUAAUACAGACCGACAUAAUAGAGGGCAUUAUUUGUGAUAUCACAAUUGCGGCUGUCAGUUUUGGAAGACAAUUUUCUUUUUGCUUCUAAACUGCCACAUAUUUUAGCUGGGGAAGUUGGGAGGGGGUGGUUGUUGGAGCGGUAGAAAGUUAGUCAUAACAACAUUCCGUAUUCAAGGAUUUUUGCCUGCAUCUGAUGGAGACUGCCUGAAGAUUGUAUCUGGUGGAGUGUGAAGAGUUGAUUGGACAAUGUGAUGAACCUGUGGGUGUGGGGCAGGGCUGUGAACUUUAGUUGGAUUGGGAAAACCUGGAAGCUUUCAGAUUCGGGUUUUCCCAAAUGUGCCAACAUGACAUCUCUAAUAAAUUGGAACUUUGA